rnacentral:rRNA from 1 species
AUGGCAUUGGCAGCCGCCGUUCUGUUCCUGCUGAUGCUGUUACAUGUGCUGGUAGUGGCACCGGCGUCAGCUCGACGGCGGCCGCCCGUGGCGCGGCCUGGGUGCCGCGACAGCUGCGGCAACAUCACCGUUUCGUACCCCUUCGGCAUCGGCGCCGGCUGCUACCGCGACGACGGCCGAGGCGGCUUCCAGCUCGAGUGCCACGGCUCCCCUCCGCGCCUCACCGUCAGUGGCUUCGACCACCACCUCGCGGGCCUCUCCCUCGCGUCCGGCGAGGCCCGCGCCUACCUCAACGCGACGCGGGAGUGCUUCAGCUCCACCGGUGGCCUCGUCGACCGCACCAACACCUACAUGUCCCUCCAGUACAGCGUCUACCGCUUCUCCGACGCCAAGAACCGUCUGGUCGCGCUCGGCUGCCCCAACCUCGGAUACUUCGUCGACGGCGACGGAUACUACGUCAGCGGCUGCAUGUCCGUGUGCCGCCCCUCCCGGUACGCCAUGCCGGGCCCGUGCACCGGCGUCGGCUGCUGCCAGAGCGAGAUACCCGCCGACAUCAGCUUCUUCGGGCCUUACCUGCGCAACUUCCCGCCGUCGAAGGACUCGGCCGCUUUCACCACCAACGCCACGUCGUGCCACUACGUGUUCCUCGUCGAGGACGAGUGGUUCACCUACACCGACCGUGUCUUCCUCAACCGCACCGACGACUUCGCCGUGCCCCUUGUGCUCGACUGGGCCGUCCGCAACAUCGACAACUGCAGCGCUGCCACGCAAAACGUCACCGACUUCGCCUGCCGGAGCACGGGCAGUCAGUGUGUCGACGCAACCAACGGCCCCGGGUACCGGUGCAGCUGUCCCAAGGGCUACGACGGCAACCCCUACCUCGACAGCGGAUGCGCAGACAUCGACGAGUGCCAUCUGAAAGACGAGUACCCGUGCUACGGUGUGUGCACAAACACGCCGGGGAGCCACACUUGCCAAUGCCCACCAGGUACAAGUGGAGGUGCCACCGCCAAGAACGGCUGCCGGCCAAAGGACAAUUUCACCUUAGCUCUGAAAACCGUCAUAGGAGUCGGCGUUGGCGUGUUCAUGUCGGUUUUCAUGUGCUUCUGGCUCUACCUGGGGCUCCAGAAGAGGAAACUGAUCAAAGCAAAGCGGAACUUCUUCGAGCACAAUGGAGGCGUCAUCUUGCAGCAGCAGAUGCGUUCCAAUAGAGGUACCGCUGUAGGAGGCGGCGGCGGGUUCAAGAUAUUCUCGGAAGAAGAGCUCGAGAAGGCAACCAACAACUUCGCCACAGACCAGGUCCUCGGACGCGGCGGCCAUGGAAUAGUCUACAAGGGCGUCUUGGAGGACGAGACUGUGGUGGCGAUCAAGAAGUCUAAGAUGAUGGAGAAGUCCGAUAUCAAGGAGUUCGCGAGGGAGAUGCUCAUUCUCUCCCAGAUCAACCACCGUAACGUCGUCAAGCUGCUUGGUUGCUGCCUUGACGUGGAGGUGCCGAUGUUGGUCUACGAGUAUGUCUCAAAUGGCACCCUCUACCACUUCAUCCACGGGAAGGAGCUUAACAACGACACAGCCUUGGACACCCGUCUCCGCAUAGCCGCAGAGUCGGCAGAGGCAUUGGCGUACAUGCAUACGUCGGCCUCACCGCCGAUCCUCCACGGAGAUGUCAAGACCGCCAACAUCCUCCUCGACAACAACCUCACCGCCAAAGUCUCGGACUUUGGGGCAUCGAAGCUGGCGCCGAGCGAUGAGGUUCAAAUCGCAACACUGGUGCAGGGCACCUGCGGGUACCUAGACCCGGAGUACCUCAUGACAUGCCAGUUGACAGACAAGAGCGACGUCUACAGUUUUGGCGUCGUGCUUUUGGAGCUUCUCACCGGAAAGAAGGCGAUCUGCUUCAGCGGGCCUGAGGACAGGAGUCUGGUGUCACGCUUCGUAGCGGCCACGAAGGCCGGCACGCAUGAGAAGCUCCUGGACGACCAGGUGAGGAAGGAAAUGGGGCCCGAGGCGCUGGAAGAAGUCACCCACAUCGUGACCCGGUGCGUGAGCGUGAGCGGGGAAGAGCGGCCGGCCAUGAAGGAGGUGGCGGAGAGGCUGGAGGCGCUAAGGAGGUACCAGCGGCGCCCGUGGGGUCAAGCUGGUGGCAGUGAUUCGGAGGAAGGGCAGAGCUUGUUUGGUAGGGAUAUGGAACGGGGUGUGGAGUACAUGUUUGGGCCUCAAGAUGUCCUUGAUCUUGAAGGGGGUAGCACAUAUACUUUAAGCUUGUAG